rnacentral:snRNA from 1 species
GUGCUCGCUUCAACAGCACAUAUACUAAAAUUGGAAUGAUACAGAGCCCCUGCGCAAGGAUGACACGCAAAUUUGUGAAGUGUUCCAUAUUUCA